UUUAUCUAAUAUGGCAGAUUAGUGCAAUGGAUUUAAGAUCCAUAUAUAAAGCAAAGCUUUUUUUAGAAGCUA
rnacentral:tRNA from 2 species